rnacentral:rRNA from 1 species
UGGGGAAUAUUGCACAAUGGGCGCAAGCUUGAUGCAGCAACGCCGCGUGAGUGAUGAAGGCCUUCGGGUCGUAAAGCUCUGUCAGAAGGAACGAAUACCCUGUGGAAAUAAUACUCCGCAGGUUUGACGGUACUUUCAGAGGAAGCACCGGCUAACUCCGUGCCAGCAGCCGCGGUAAUACGGAGGGUGCUAGCGUUGUUCGGAAUUACUGGGCGUAAAGCGCGUGUAGGCGGACUCGGAAGUCGGGUGUGAAAGCCCUGGGCUCAACUCAGGAAGUGCGCCCGAAACCACGAGUCUAGAGGUCCGGAGGGGAUCGGGGAAUUCCCAGUGUAGAGGUGAAAUUCGUAGAUAUUGGGAGGAACACCGGCGGCGAAGGCGCCGAUCUGGACGGAUUCUGACGCUGAGACGCGAAAGCGCGGGUAGCAAACAGG